UACGUAGGGUGCGAGCGUUGUCCGGAAUUACUGGGCAUAAAGAGCUCGUAGGUGGUUUGUCGCGUUGUCCGUGAAAACUCACAACUCAAUUGUGGGCGUGCGGGCGAUACGGGCAGACUGGAGUACUGCAGGGGAGACUGGAAUUCCUGGUGUAGCGGUGAAAUGCGCAGAUAUCAGGAGGAACACCGAUGGCGAAGGCAGGUCUCUGGGCAUUAACUGACGCUGAGGAGCGAAAGCAUGGGGGAGCGAACAGG
rnacentral:rRNA from 1 species